UAUUUAUCUCAAUAAAUAUAUUACACACGCACAAAUGAACAUUAAUCUACUUCGUCUGAACAGUAUGCAAGGAAGACGUAUUGUCGGCUCCUUUCUAUUUGGGUCUCAAAGGAAACACCAGAAAAGGACACGUCUUGUCCAAUAUUCACACC